UUUCCGUAGGUGAACCUGCGGAAGGAUCAUUAGUGAAUCUUGGGCCUUCUACUUCGGUAGGGCCUGACCUGCACUUUCUAACUCUGUGCACUUAUUUGGCGCAAAAGGGAAUUAGUAAUCUGUCUAAUGACGAUAGCGACUUCUUACUUUCUGCGGCUUACUUUUGACACUAGGCAAAGUAUGUAACGAAGUAUCGAAACAAAUAAAAACUUUCAACAACGGAUCUCUUGGUUCUC
rnacentral:misc_RNA from 1 species